rnacentral:tRNA from 1 species
UGAAGAUUAGUUAAUUUUAUAACAUUGGCUUGUCAAGCCAAAAUUAUCGGAAUCCGAUAUUUUCAA